GUUUUUAUUCCCCAACUCUUCUUAACCUAGGACAGCCUCUCCUGCUUCUCCGCCCUGGAUGCUCCGGAGCGCAGAUGAUGACAGAAGGAAGAAGAACACCAGGAGGGAAUUCUGAGGAGGGACAGGUCGUAUUUUGAUUGCCUCUGACUUAUUGAGAGACAGAGUCAGGCACAAAUAUUCAGCAAGGCUUCAUACCACAGUCCACUCCCAGUCUGAGCCGCACAGUCAAAAGCGCAUCACAAAGAACAGAUCGUACGUACGCGCGUAUGUGUCAUUACUUAACGAAAAGAUCUGAA